rnacentral:lncRNA from 1 species
AAUGAAGUUAAAGGAAUCCUAUUGAAUGAAUGUAUAGGAAUUCUAAGAUCAAUCCGAUCAUCUAGAUUCUCACUUUGUUCUAUAAACAGAGUGUAUCCCGUUGCCUCCACUAGACUAUAAACGAUGAAUGUUAUCCAAAGAGGUAGCAAUUUUACUAGGGGCUUUGCUUGAUUCAUUCGUUCAGCAACCGUCUUUCUUGCUGGAUCUUCAUGGUCAUAGCAGCACUUGCCAGAGCAGAAAGCUAAAUAAGCCACCACGACGACUAUUAGUGAAACCUUGAAGGUUUCAUCCCAUUCAAGGCUUGAUGCAAAUGUUGAAGAUACGACCGUUCCUAGAAACACUGCAAUAUAAUUCCAAAAAUUAGCACGAAUUCUAAGUGUAUCCUCAUAUUUCUCCAUAUGUUGUUUUUGGGAAAACUGAUCUUCCAUUAUCUCAAUCUCAUCAAUGUCCAUAGUCGCAAGAAACUGGUCACAGAGAAAUGGUUUCAACGAAGCAUCUUGUCCCGCUGUGCCUAGCAUAAAUAACGUUAAUGCUACGUAAAAUAUAAUAUUGCUGACAUGUGAAGCAAGAAGCCAACUAGAAAGCCAUAAUACCAGUAAUGCCUGCAAAAAGAAUAAUAUCAUUAUUGUGAGUGUUUUUUGCGAUAUUGAAAAUGCAAUGGAGUUGAGUGCGACGAGUAUGGUGAUGAAGUAUUUUUUUGAAAGGACAUGGCGGUGUAUUAAUACAGCAACCUGAACACAGGAUAACGCAUGGUGGUACGUGCCUAAAAGGUGCAUGGGUUGCUCAAAAAAAUAGCAUUGUUCGCUUGCAUGGAAGCUUAUCAUUACUCACAAGUGAACGGGCGUUUGUUGAGGUUGAUAUAUAUUUGAGUGUGGUAUCUCACGACACUAAAAUGUGGUAUAAACAUGGAAGAUCCAAAAAUCCAUUAACUAAUUAGAUUAAUGGGAUAUCUCUGUGUUGAAGAUAUGGUUUAUCUCCCAACAAAUUUCAAUAUUAAUGACUUCUGUUUUUUGUUUUCUUAAUCGAAAUGUGAUUUUUUUUUUACACACAAUUUUAGAAAGAAAGGAAAUUUACAACUGCCCUCUACCAUUGAAUUAUUAAAUGUUCUUGAUCACAAACUAUAAGAAAAUUUAAGGUAACUCAUUGCAUAUUUAAAUAUUAAUUGUUUAGCUUAAUUUUCCGAAAUAAUUUUUCUACUCUAGAAAACUUCUGAUAUUAUUAAAAUAAUUCUUUUUAGCUUUUCAUAAAAAGUUUAACACAUGAUUACAUGUAUUGAAUGUAAAUAAAUAAUUUCUUGUUUUCAAAUUCAUAGAGUAAGUGAUUUAGUAUUAAAAAAAAUGCAGAUAAAAAUUACUAUCUUUGUUCCAGAUUUAAUGUCUACAUUUUCUUUUUUAAUAUGUUCCAUAAUUAUAUCCACUUUCCAUUUUUAACAUUUACAACUCUUACUUUUUCUAUGUUAUAUAUUAAUUUUUAAUAUAUUUUUUUAUUUUUUAAUAUUGUAAAAACUAAAAUUUAUUGAUCAACAUUAUAAAAAAUAUAUUAAAUAAACUAAAGCCAAAAUGUUAUUCCUAAUCCUCUCCUAUGUUAAGUCCAAAGUGAAUAUUGGAUUUCGAAUGAAAAAAAUAUGAAUGAUAUAAAUUUAAUUUUAUACCGUUCAUAUUUAUCAUAGUAUUGUGUAACUCUUGAUAAAAACAUUUGAAAAUAUCAUAAGAAUAUAUAAAAUGCAAAGAAAAUAGGGUGAAGAAAAAAGAGGCACAGGACAAGGCAAGAGGAGACUCGUUUGAGAUGCAACUAACUACAAUAGUGUAAGUCGGAGACAAGUGCUGACAGAUGAAGAAUAAACUUACGAUGAUCAAAGCUGGAACAGUGCAAACGAGGAGUUUGAACCGGCCUAUGCGAUCAGCUGCGAUGUGGUCGAGGACAAUAGACGUAAACAUUGUUACGCCUUCAAAGGCAUUUGCAAAGGCUGCAGCUUUUCGGAGAGAUGACUUGUCCCAAAUGAACUGGAUAUACGAUAUCAAGAAAGCUCUAAAUGCGUUGUCUACAAAGGCCUGGCUCAUAAGCAAACCUAUCAUCGGAUAUGGUAGCCAUCCAUUAAAAUUAUGUUAGUGUAACAAUUAAUAACGAAUACUAGCUAGUACUAUUUUUCUUUUGGAAUUCUUUUAGCCCUUCCUAUUCAAGAAUAGCGUAGAUACCUGAGAUGAAUAGGGCACCCUUAGAGAAGCGAACGUAAUUGGACGCCCACGUCCACAUGCUAGAGAAGCAGUUGUUAUAGAAAUUGCAGUAGCAACCAUUCAUUUCUCAAGUUUAAUCCUCCCUCCUGCUUGAUGUAUUACUUCCACGAAUUAAACUGGGCAUCCAAGUCCUCCCAUUUCAACCUUUUAAGAAACUAAAUUUCUCUCAACGUCAAGACACAUAUGGUCUUAUAAUAAAGCAAGUCAAUGUGGAUGCCGUCAAUCAGUCAAAUAAAAGUUCUGUCACUUUGUAAAAUAAUGGGUUCAAAGUCAUGUUUUGAAAAUUCUGGGAAGAACCCACCCAAAGGAGAUGAAUCUACUUAAAAUUAUAAUAACAAAAUAUAUUGGUAAUGUGUUUCCGAUUCUAAAUUAUAAAAUAAUGAAUCUAGUGACAUAGAUUAUCGAUGGUGAAGAUGUAGUCAGCAUUUUUGCGAUGUAAAGACAAAGAUGGAGGUAGGUAAUUAAUUAAGUUGAUAGAAGCGUGCUUACUAAUUAAGUUGGUAGAAGCGUGCUUUGUAUUAAGACCUCGUAUGGUCAAGUUAAUGAUAUGAUCAAAAAAAUAUAUAUUUCUAUGAAGAAAUAAGAGUCUAUCUAACUACUUUGGUUAUUGAGCUUACUCAUAAAAUUUUUAGACCAUAGUUCCAAUGAUAUAAACCAUUUAUUGAGCUAAUCUCAAUUUUUCUCCUCCAAUUCUUCAAAAGGGAUUUCAUCCAAAAAGGAUAUUAGGCAAUGCUUUGGGACUCGCAUGAUAUUCUGUAAUAGCCACUACAAUGUUUUUUAACUAGGGAAGAUUCUCAUAUCUGAUUUUACCCAUACAUCUUUUACUUGAUUGAAUAUUGCAGGCUUUCACCAUAUUUGUUUCAGAUAUAUGCUCUGCUUUUUCAUUCUUACUCGUCAAGGCUUGUGCAUAAUAUUAGACAACUUUGCACUCGGAGAUGGAUUCUGUUUCUUCUGGCCACUGUAAUCACCUCCUCUUCUUUCUGGAUAACCCUUCCCUGGUUGUUCAGUGCUUCGUUUUUUCCAAUAAAAAAUUCUGCACCCAAAUCUAACAAUGUUGACCUCAAGUCUUUGGUCCAAUGACCAAGCUCCAGUCAAUCUUGAAACUGCUCUUUGAACAUCUGCUGGUACCUCAUAUCUACAAAUCAAAAUUUACUCCCCUACUUGAUUUUUUUUCUUAACUAUAUAAACAUAAACCACCUUACAAACUUGUUGGAAAAUUCUUUUCACCUCCAAUGUACUCUUAAUGGAAUAUUGUUGGCAAUGAAGUUAUUUUCUUACUUUCCCGGAUCAAUGCUGUAAUUAAUUACAAAACUUAAUGAAAAUGCUUGUACUAUUAGAAGAAUAGAUGAUAAUAAUAAGAAGUUAACGAGAUGAGAAAUCCAUUUCCAUAGAUAUUUAUUAUUGAAUUAAUUGUUCGUUUAAGAUGUAUUACAUAACUUAACAAUGCAAAAAACCUCUUUUAUAGACCAUAGAUCAUCCUUGAACUAAGUCAAUGAAUUUUUUUUUAAGCAAAAACACUAGUUAGGUGCUGUAAAAUUAUAAUUAAGAUUUAGCAAGUGUCUAGCUGUUUCUCGAUCUAGUCAUGGAAUCAAAAUUAUAAAAAAUUGGUAUGUUUGAAUAACGCAGCAAUGACAAAUUCUGGUCCAAAGGGGUUUUGUCAUCUCCACCGUGAUGAAUGUGUUUAAGAUUAUAAAUAUAUGAUUCCAUAAUGUUUCAUUUUGGCACAUGGAGUUAAGGAUAAGACAUGAUUAUAAUAAAAUAACUGAAAAAAAAACAAAUGAAAGUUUGGGGAGAAGACAGAAAUGGUAUUGAUAAUUAUAUAUAUGAAAGUACACAUCAUUACUUAAACCUUUGGGCACGUUCACGUUUGACAGAUUAUGAAAAAAAUCAUACUUUAAUAAGUCUUUAAGUUAUAAUUUUUGUGAUUUUGUCAAAUCAAAAGACACAUUACCAAAAAAAACUCUUUUUUUUUUAUAAAAAAAACUUUAUUAAACACUAAUUAAAUGAAGGAAACUAAUUCCCAACAUAUCCUUCAUAAGAAAAGAUCUAGAGUCUAUGGAUGACACAUUAUAAAAUUCGUAAUCCUCUUCUAUGGAGAAAUAAGACCUUUUUUUUGAAUUAAUGAGUUUUAUUUUAUAUUUGUUGUUUUUUACUGUUUUUUAUUAUUAUGAAGGUUCAUAAUCAUUUGUGGGAUUGAUAAUUCAUUUGGUGUCCUCUUUUUACUAUCAAAAUCUUCCUCUUUGGUUGUUUUUUAAACUUGGGUCUUUUAUUUUUUUAUUUGUUAUUUUUGUUUAUUUUCAUGUUCAUUAAGAGUAUACAUAAUUAACUAAUUUAUUAUUUAGAACAAAUAAAGUUAUUAUAUACGCUCCAUAAUAAAAAAUAAAAAUGAAAAAAAAAUUUCCAUAUCAUCCUACUCUCAAUAAUUAUUUUCAACAUCUAUUUUAAAAUAAUGUUUCAAAUUAGUGACAUUUUGAAAAGUGUAAGGGGUGGUAAUGCUUAAAGAAGUUACACUCGUUUGUUACCACGCCACCUGUUAUUUUAAUAGUAUAAUGCUAAUAUUUUAAACUUUUGUUUGGUUUUUAGGACAGGGAAGACAAUAUUUUAGUUGAUUGCAAGAAACAUCUUGUUCAAAACUAUAGCUUCCGUUGUCAAAUUGACUUUGAUAAAAAAAAAAAACGGAAAAUCUUACUCAAUCUAGUAAUGGGAAAGCAGGAAGCCCAUUGAUGGUUAUAUAUUACUCGAUCUAGUCUCUGAAACAUCUGAGAAUUUGUACAUGUAUACGGGUUGCUUUCAAAGCCACCAUCCAUUAAGCCAUAGUCGAGCAAAGUUGCUGCAAAAUCUUCCAUUGAUCCACUAUGAGGAGCUGCUCUAUAAAGUCUUUUUUCCGUCUUCAGUAUGACAUUAAAGUCCCCACCCACGAACCAUGGUGCAUGAAUGUCUGCUGAAAGACUUUUCAAACAAUCCCAAAGUGGUAUUCUCUCAAACCUGGUGCAUUUGGCAUAGAUAAAGGAAGCAAAAAUAGGAAUUGCCAGCCAUGGGAAUGACAAACGAACAUGUAAACACUGAACAUGAUUAAAUAAAACUUCACACGAUAAGUCAUAUGAACAAAACACCCAUAUUUUCUGAGAACAAUUUGUAAUAACCUUCUCAAAGCCCAGUUUCCUGCAAAAAAAUUCUGCUUUCUGAGCCUCAACCAUAGGCUCCAAUAUAACUAGAAUUUUGAGUUUAUAAAGCAACUUCAAUUGUUUGAUUCUUCCCUGAGUAACCUUACUUGAGAAGCUUCUUACAUUCCAUAUCAACAUAUUAAUCAUGGACAAGUAUGAGCUAGAGAGUAUGCUGAUUUAGUUAGCAUUUUGCAAUGGAGGUUAAUAAUUAAGUUGAUUUAAAACCUUGUAUGGUCAAGUUAAUGAUAUGGUCAAAAAAAUUAUAUAUGAAGAAAUAAGAGUCUAUCUAUCUACUUUGGUUAAUUAUAGAGCUUACUUAGAAGAUUUUUAGACCAUAGUUCCACUAAUAUAAACUAUUUAUUGAGCUAGUCUCAAUUUUUCUCCUUCAAUUCAUCAUAAGGGAUUUCAUCCGAAAGAAUAUUAGGAAAUGCUUUGGGACUGUUGAAAUAUGGCUUCAUCUUGCUGCCAAGCUGAUUCAAAGGCUGAAGUUUACAAGAAAUUCAUAGCUGCAGAAAGAAUAGUAGUUUUUGUCGGUUUAUCUUUAUUUUUUUUAUUUGUUAUUUUUUUUCUUUGUCUAUCAAUAAUAUUUUUCUUCCAAAUACUGUGUCGUUUUACUUGUGUAGCCGUUAGGCUUGUGUGGCUGUCUUGGGAAUCUGAGCAUAACUCCCUAUGCACUAUUCUUUCAGCUGUUUCUAGAUAACCAGGUGUCCUUAGCUAGUUGUCUAUUUCUCUCUCAUGUAACGACCUAUAAAUACCAUUUUACCUUGUUUAAUGAAUGGGUAUGAAGCACACCGCUUUGCGCUCAUCAAAAAAAUUCUCUCUAUCUUCUUUCUUAAUAAGCUUUUCUCUCUGCUCCUCUGUUCUUUAGUUCAUUCAUUUUUCUAGAAUACUCAAUUUCUCAUCAUGGUAUUAGAGCUCUGCAACGAGUCUUAAAGGGCUGUUUUCUUCUUUUCCUCAUUAUCAUUCUUCACUUUAAUCAUCCUUUGUGUGGUUUAGUGUUCAUGGUUACUGCUAGAUUCAACACCUCAGCUCCACCAGUCUUUACUGGUGAAAACUAUGUUAUUUGGUUAGUAAAGAUGAGGUCGUAUUUGAAGGCUUAUAGUCUUUGGGAGGUUGUGGAGACUGGUGAGGAUCCUGUUCAAUGUCAUGCUAACCCCACUUUUGCUCAAAUUCGACAGUUUGAAGAGAACAAAGCUAAAAGGUACAAAGCUCUGUCCAGUUUAUAUUCAGCUAUUUUUGAUGAGAUUUUCUCUAGGAUUAUGUAACUAGAUAGUCCUAAGGAGGUAUGAGAUCACUUGAAGGAUGAGUUUUUUGGUAGUGACAAGACUAGGCAUAUUUAGUCUUUGAAUCUGUCUAGACAAUUUGAAAUGUUAAGGAUGGAAAAUGAUGAAAAUAUUAGGGAGUUUUCUGGAAGAAUGAUAAGUGUUGUGAAUUAGUUAAGGUUGUUGGAAAGGCUGUUAUUGAGGUGAAGAUGGUGCACAAGGUAAUGGUGAGUUUCCCAGAAAAGUAUGAAUCCAAAAUUUCUUCCUUAAAAGAUUCCAGGGAUAUUACUCAAAUGACUUUGAAAGAAUUAGUAAAUGUUCUAGAGGGUUUUGAGCAAAUAAGAGCAUUUAGGCAGAGAAGUGUAGCAGACAGUGCCUUGGUAGCUCAUAUGAGAAAUGUCAAAGUGAGCAGUAACAGCACAAUGAAGAAUGAAGUUAAUAGGAAGGAUAAGGAGAAAAAAGGAGUUGAUGGAAAAUUUGAAAAUAAAAGCAAAAGUAUUAACCUUGUCCACACUGCAAGAAAACCACUCAUUCUGCAAAAUUUUGUUAGUACAGACCAAAUGUGAAAUGCAGGUCUUGUAACCAACUUGGACAUGUUGAAAAAGUUUGUAAAAACAAAGGAGUUAAGUCUGAAGAGAAGGUUGCAGCAGUUGAGCAAGUUAAAGAAUCUGAGGAGGUGUUAUUCAUGACCAGAGAAGUGGGAGAUUCAUUCAAAAAGAACUUGUGGUUAAUAGAUAGUGCCUGUUCAAAUCCCUUAACUGGGGAUGAGAGUCAGUUUUCUGUCCUCGAUAGGAGCUACAGGUCCAAAGUUGAAAUUGAAAAUGGAAUCUUCUUAAGGAUACUCGGUUUAGGGACUGUUAUGGUAGAAACUCAGUCAGGCAUCAAGUGUAUUUCAAAUGUCUUUUUUAUUCCUGAAGCUAAUCAAAAUCUGCUUAGUGUUAGACAGCUUACUAAGAGUCACUAUGCUCUCUUUUUUAAGGAUAAAUGUUGCACAGUGUUUAAUCCUAAAGGUGAUGAACUGUUCACAGUGGAGAUAAAGAAUAGAUGUUAUCUAAUUGAUUGGAAGCAUACUGAACAGAAGGCCUAUAUCAGUUCUGUUGAUGAUUCAGAACUGUGGCGUAGGAGGCUAGGGCAUGUGCACUAUAAAUCUUUGCAGGAUAUGGCUACUCAGGAGAUGGUUGAAGGAUUGCCUAAGAUCAUUAAGCCUGACCAUGUGUGUGGCACUUGUCAGUUUGGAAAGCAAAGUAGAACUUCAUUUCCAAAGAAUAAGGGGUGGAAGGCUACUGAGAAGUUACAGUUGGUACACACUAACUUAACAAGACCUAUGUAGACUAUUUCCCUUGGUGGCAGCAGGUACUACGUAGUGUUUAUUGAUGAUAUAUCUAGAUACUGCUGGAUAUAUUUUCUUAAAGUUAAGACAGAUGCAUUGAUGAACUUUAUUAAGUUUAGAAGUUUAGUUGAGAAUCAAGCAAAUACUACCAUUAAAACACUUAGAAGUGACAAUGGGAAGGAAUUCACAGCUACUGAAUUUGAGAAAUUGUUAACUCAGCUUGGCAUCACUCAUCAACUUACUGCAACCUAUAGUCUUCAACAAAAUGGAAUUGCUGAAAGGAAGUAUAUGACACUUAUGGAGAUGGCAAGGUGUUUGUUAUUUCAAAAGGAUAUUCCUAAGCUGUUCUAGGCAGAAACUGUUAAUACAGUAAAUUACUUACUGAAUAGAACCAAGACCAGUUCAAUAACAGGUAAGACUCCUUUUGAGUAUUGGUUUGGUUUCAACUGAAUAAAGAAAAUUGUUUACAGUAGUUUCAUAUUUAUAAAGUACACAGAAUCAAAGUUAAACAUGUAUAGUUUCGUUAAAAAAUUAUAGAAAAAAUUAAAAAUAAUAUAACAAAUAACCUUUACUGCACAUCAAGGAAAAAAAAAAGCUUAUUGAGCAAAACAAGUACAUAUUAGCUUGCAAUAGAAAUGAUGUUGAUGAUAUGUACAACAUAUACAGCUUUGGCAUAUCCAAUAUAGGGCCAGGAAUGAAAGCGUUGAACGUCUACUUUUGCCACUGAACGGGACUCUAGAUUGCUCCAAGAGUUACUUGGAGACUUGGAAUUUGUCCCCAACGUUAAGGGAGCCAAGGAGGAUGCAGUUAUUAAUUUCGUGGGGCCAGCAACCUUUCCCAUGCUCACGUGGGAUUCGUUCUACGGUACUAUUACAUUUCAAUCAUUCUUAUAGGUAAGAAAAAUAUAUAAAAACUUUUUAUGCUGAGCAAAAAAAAAAUGUAUACAAACAUGAUAAAAAUAUUUAAAACCGCUAACAUUAGCAAGUACUUGUCAGCAUGACUUUCGCUUUUGGUGUCGCCAAUCCAGGGUCGAGCAUACAAUAAUGAAAACACACUGACGAAUCUUCCAAAACCCAGCACACCUUCAUUAAAUGGAUACUCAAGAAACCACAUUGAAAACUGGUACUCUGUCAUAAAACAAAUGCUUUAGUCCCUUCCCCACAAUUCCUAAUAAGAAAAAUUGAGGAGCCAACAAUAAGAUUGUCAUGGGAAUUGUUUUGUUUUCCGAUUUGCCAAUUAAACUCAAUCUGUGAACCUCCACUCUCCAAGCAGUUUCGCAACACCUAAAAGCAAAGAACAUUCUGACGCCAAUUCUGACAAACCUGGCACGUUGUUGGAUCAUUUCUUCACUACUCCAUAAUUUUUUUAUAUUAGAAAACAUCACAAUAAUGAUACCACGAAGCUUGUAAAGGUUUGAAGCACAUAUAAUGAAGUUAAGGGAAUCCUAACGUUAAUACGAUUAUUUGGAUUCCUGCUUUGUUCUAUAAACAAAGUGUAUCCCGUUCACUCCACUAGACUAUAAGCGAAGAAUGUUAUCCAAAGAGGUAGCAAUUUUGCUAUGGGCUUUGCCUGCUUAAUUCAUGCAGCAACCGUCUUUCUUGCUGGAUCUUCAUGGUCGUAGCAGCACUUGCCAGAACAGAAAACUAAAUAAGCUACCGCAACAAUUAUUAGUGAAACCAUGCAGGUUUCUUUCCAACGAAAGGCUUGAUCCAAAUGUCGAAAAUACGAAGGUUCCUAAAAACACUACAAUAUAUAUUUUUCCAAAAAUUAGCACGAUUUUCAAGUGUAUCCUCGUAUUUCUCCAUCUCUUGUUUUUGGGAAAACUCAUCUUUCAUUGUCUCAGUCUCAUCAAUGUCCAACGUCGAACGAAACCGGUCACAAAGAAAUGAUUUCAAAGAAGCGACUUGUCCCGCUGUACUUAGCAUUAACAACGUUAAUGCUAUGUAAAAUAUAAUAUUGCUUCUAGAAAGCCAUAAUACCAGUAAUCCCUGCAAAAAGAAUGCCAUUGUUGCGACAUCUUUUUGCGAUAUUUGAAAAUGCGACGGAACUAUUUGUUUAUAUUAUCAAAAUAACAAUGCAUCUUUAAGUUGAUAAGUCUGUUGAGUUCACAUGUAAGUGUGAAUAUUAUAAAAAUAUCAUAAGAACACCUAAAUUAAAAUCUUAAGAUCAUGGUGACUUUAUACAUACAUGCAUGCAUGCAUAUUUAUAUUUAAGGUCAUGGUGAAAUGAUUAUAUAGUUUAAUGUAAUUUUAAUUUGUUAACUUUGAAUAAAGUAUAUUUUUUAGUUUAUUUAGAUUAAUUUUUUUUUGAACCUGACUUUACAAGAAUUGAAAUCUUAAUUCAGUUAGAAUUAGGAUAAUGUGAGUUUUUGUAGCCAAAAAUUAACUCGAGCCCAUAAGAUAUAAUUUAUAUAAAACUUUUGAUGGAUGCCAUAAAACUAUCAUAAGAAGACCUAAAGUGCUAAACGAGUUGGGGGGGAAGAAAAAAAAGAGGCAAUCAGCAAGCCAAAAGAAAACUAGUUUGAGAUUAAACUAACUACAAUAGUGUAAGGCGAGGACAAGUGCCGACAAAUGCCGAAUAAACUUACCAUGAUCAAAGCUGGAACAGUGCAAAUAAGGAGUUUGAAAUGGCCUACGCAAUGAAAUGCGAUGUCGUGGAGGAUAAUAGAUAUAAACAUUUUUAUGCCUACAAAGGCAUUUGUAAAGGCUGCAGGCAUUUGGAGAGACGGCUUCUUCCAAAUGAACUGGAUAUACGAUAUUAAGAAAGCCGUACAUGCGUUGUCUAAAAAGGCGUCGCCCAUAAUCAAACCUGUCAUCAUAAAUGGUAGGUAGUGUUAGGAUAGUCUUGAAUUGUGAUUUAAUUAGGAUUGUUUGAUUCUAAUUAAAUUAGUAUACCUUAUAAAUAGUCUUUAAAUCUAGUUAGAUUAGAAUAACAAUUUCUAAUUCUAUUAGGAUAAGAUUCCUAAUUAAAUUAGGAUAAGGUUAUUGUAUUUGAUACUAUAAAAGGACCCUAUGGGUUAAAGAAUAAUUAUCACCUAGAUUUAGAGAGAGUGAUUUAGGUGUACGUGGGAUAAGGGUUAUGAGUUUGAGACUGUUCUUGUAAUCUCCUGAUUUUUCUCUUAGUGAAUUUUUCUCUGUUGUUGUGCCCGUGGACGUAGGUCAUCAAAAGACCGAACCACGUAAAUUCUUGUGUUCUUGUGGGUGUGCUUGAUUUCUUUCUUUCUUUAUUCUAUUGAUUGGGUUAGAUCUUGGGCAAUUCUUUAGAGACAAUUCCGCAAUUUCCCAACAAACUGGUAUCAGAGCUUCAAGGUCUUGGAUCAAUCUGAAUCUCGCUAUGGCAACUUCGUCGACCAAGUAUGAGAUUGAAAAGUUUAAUGGAAGAAACGAUUUCAGCCUGUGGCGUGUUAAGAUGCGCGCAUUGCUAGUGCAACAAGGACUGUUGAAGGCACUGAAGGGAAAAGAGCAUCUUCCCUCGAAUUUAUCUGAUGGUGAGAAAGAUGACCUUAUGGAAAAAGCACAUAGUGCUAUUCUCCUUGCUUUGUCUGAUGAGGUGCUAAGAGAAGUCACGGAUGAAGAAUCUGCUGCUGCAGUGUGGUUUAAACUCGAAAGUAUUUAUAUGACCAAGUCCCUGACGAAUCGGCUUUAUAUGAAGCAACGAUUGUAUACUCUCAAGAUGAGUGAAGGUACGUCCGUUAAUACCCACAUUGAUGAAUUUAAUAGAGUUAUUCUUGAUUUAAAGAAUAUCGAUGUUAAAAUUGAGGAUGAGGACCUAGCCCUAAUUCUUUUAUGUUCUUUGCCUCCAUCGUAUGAAAAUUUCGUGGAUACUAUGCUUUACGGCCGAGACACUCUCACUUUCGAGGAUGUAAGGGCAUCUUUAAAUUCCAAGGAAUUAAAGAAGAAAGUUGGUGGUAUUCGGAAUGAAAAUCAAGCAGAAGGUUUGGUUGUAAAUAGAGGUAGAGGUAAAGAGAAAGGCUUAGACAGAAAAGGUAAAUCUAGAGCAAAAGGGAAAACUUGCUGGAAUUGUGGUCAGAAAGGGCAUUUUCGUCAAGACUGUAUCAAAUUCAAGGAUGAUGAAAAGUUUAAUAAGUCUGAGAAUACUGCAAACGUGGUUGGAGAUGACUUUGAUACUUUUGAGGAAACUGAUAAUGUUCUUGCAAUUACUAAUUGUAACCUGAUGGAUACAUGGAUCUUGGAUUCGGCUUGUUGCUUUCAUAUAUGUCCUAGGCGUGAUUGGUUUACAACUUAUCAAUCUGUUAAUAUGGGCACUGUACAAUUAGGAGAUGAUUUCUCUCUCUCAGUUGUUGGAAUUGGCACAAUUAGAAUCAAGAUGUUUGAUGGUAUGGUAAGAACACUUGAGGUAAAACAUGUCCCUGACAUGAAAAAGAAUUUAAUAUCCUUGAGUUUGUUAGAUAAGAAGGGCUACAAAUAUAGUGGCCAAGAUGGUGUCUUGAAUGUAUCUAAAGGAGCCUUAACUAUCAUGAAGGGCAAGUUAUCCGGUGACCUUUAUUGUCUAGUGGGAAACACGGUCAUUGAAACUGUUUCUGUGGUCUCAUCUAAUGAUCCUGAAGAUGAUGUAACACGUUUAUGGAAUAUGAGAUUUGGUCAUAUGAGCGAGAGAGGGAUUAGAAAACUAAGUAAGCAUAGUUUGCUGUGUGGUCAAAAGAGUGGAAAGCUAGAUUUCUGUGAGCAACGUAGAGUGAAAUUUAGCACUAAAACUCAUCAAACCAGGGGUACAGUAAACUACAUCUAUUUAGAUUUGUGGGAUCCUUCUCCGGUGGUAUCAAAAGGUGGAUCAUUAUACAUGUGGAUCUUUAUUGAUGAUUUUUCAAGAAAGGUGUGGACGUAUCUUCUAAAGGCUAUGAGUGAAGUGUUAACCACCUUUUUGCAUUGGAAGGUAUUGAUCGAGAAGCAGACUAAGAAAAGGAUCGAGAGCUUUCGAACAAACAAAGGUUUGAAAUUUUGCAAAGGUGAGUUUGGUCUAUUCUACAAGAAUGAGAAAAUCGUUAGACAUCGCACUGUCGACAAAACACCAUAUCAAAACGAUAUUGUAGAAUUGAUGAAGAAAACACUUUUGGAGAGAGCAAAAUACGUGUUCUCAAAUGUUGGCCUAACCAAAGUAUUUUGGACAGAAGCUAUCAACAAGGCUUGUUACUUGGUAAAUCGGUCUCCAUCAACUGCAAUUGAAUUUAAGACUCCCAAGGAAGUUUGGUCUGGUAAGCCUGCUGAUUAUUUUAUAUUGAGAGUAUUUGGUUGUCCUGUUCAUGUUCAUGUGAGUGAUGGUAAACUUGAGUUGAGGGCGACAGAGUGCAUAUUCCUAGGCUAUGCAUAUGGGGUGAAGGGUUAUUGGUUGUGGUGUACUGAUUGUAAGUUCCCCAAGUUUAUGGUGAGUCGGGAUGUUACCUUUGACAAGUCUGCAUUACUUUGUGGGAUAAAGUCUAGAAUUGCAAACACAUCAGACCAAGAAGUUGGCAAGCAGGUGGAGCUUGAAAUCAAUGCUCUUGUGACAGUGCGAGAUGAUAGUGAAAUCCAGAAAGAAUUGCAAGAGGUACAAGAAUUGGUAUCUCAACGAAGCAUUACUUGUAUUGAUGGUGAUUUUGAUUCUUAUGUUUUAUUUGUGGAAGUAGAGAUUGAAGAGCCUUACUUUUAUCAUGAGAAAAUUAUAUAUGUCGAGUCUUCUAAGAAGAUUGAGUCUCUACACUGGGAUCAAACAUGGGAGCUUGUGAAAACACCUAAAGUUACUAUUGAAGUUGGCUUAGUGUGUGAAGGAGGUGCAAACAUUAGUCGUAAUGUGGUUGGCUUCUCCAAAUCAGAUUUUGCUGGUGAUCUAGAUAGUAGAAGAUCUCAAACGGGGUAUGUGUUCACUCUCUCAGGAUCUGCAAUCAGUUGGAAAGCAGUUCUUCAAUCAACCUUUGCUUUGUCUACAACUGAAGCUGAAUAUAUGGCUGUGACCGAGGCAGUGAAGGAGGCUUUGUGGCUUAAAGGCUUGGUUAGUGAUCUUGGUUUUGAACAAACACAAACAGUUGUGUUUUGUGAUAGUCAAAGUGCUAUACAUUUGACUAAAAAUCAGAUGUUUCAUGAGAGAACCAAACACAUCCAAGUCAAGUGUAACUUCGUUCGAGAGAUUAUUUCUAAAGGUGAGAUUGUAGUAAAGAAAAUAGCUACAGAUGAAAAUCCGGCAGAUAUGCUAACUAAGUCAGUUUCUGGGAUAAAGUUCAAGCAUUGCUUGGACUUGAUCGGUGUUCGUAGUGCUUGAGGCCCAUUGGGGCAGUGGCGGUGUCGACAGAGAUUGGUUCGUAAGGUGGAGCUUGGUGAAUUCAAGCCUAAGGUGGAUAAUUGUUAGGAUAGUCUUGAAUUGUGAUUUAAUUAGGAUUGUUUAAUUCUAAUUAAAUUAGUAUACCUUAUAAAUAGUCUUUAAAUCUAGUUAGAUUAGAAUAACAAUUUCUAAUUCUAUUAGGAUAAGAUUCCUAAUUAAAUUAGGAUAAGGUUAUUGUAUUUGAUACUAUAAAAGGACCCUAUGGGUUAAAGAAUAAUUAUCACCUAGAUUUAGAGAGAGUGAUUUAGGUGUACGUGGGAUAAGGGUUAUGAGUUUGAGACUGUUCUUGUAAUCUCCUGAUUUUUCUCUUAGUGAAUUUUUCUCUGUUGUUGUGCCCGUGGACGUAGUCAUCAAAAGACCGAACCACGGAAAUUCUUGUGUUCUUGUGGGAGUGCUUGAUUUCUUUCUUUCUUUUUUCUAUUGAUUGGGUUGGAUCUUGGGCAAUUCUUUAGAGACAAUUCCGCAAUUUCCCAACAGGUAGUCAUUCAUUUAAUUUUGCUUUGGUAUUCUUUUGCCCUUCCUAUCAACGAUAGCGUAGAUACGUCAUACCUGAGAUGAAUAUGACACUCUUAGAGAAGCGAAUGUAGUUGCACACCCGCUUCCAUAUUCCAGAGAAGCAGUUCUUAAUACUCAUCAACAUUUUCGGGAAGCAACUGAAGCCAAAAAUUAAAGCAGCUUAUACAAUAUGUAUCACCUUACUUAAUGGUUGAAACACCUUUUUUUUACGUUUGCUCGCUUUUUAUGCUAGUGGAGGACUAAUUUUUAGAAAUCCUUUUUUCCAAGUAUCAGGACUAGGGAACAAUGUGAGGUAGGCGUACGUGCUCUAGCAGAAGCAUUUGGCUGAAAUGGUAAACGGAUUGACUAGGGCUUUGGUACGUGCAGUGCCAUUGCCUCUGAUUUAUGUUCGAGGAUCAAUACGCAAUGAAUUUUCUAUACGCAAGCAAAACAAAAAAAAAAAAAGGUAAAUAUCAAUAAGGGUAAAAUAGUCUAUUAAAAAGAAGCUGCAAAGAUACAUAUUAUAUAGAAUACAGAUGUUGCUGUUACUUUGGUGUAAGGGGUUGGUUGACUCCAAAUGUAUUCAUUUCUCAAAUUUAAUCCUAUCCUAUAUGAUGUAUUACUUCCAUUAAUUAAACUGGGCAUCCUAAAUAAAUGAAUAAACUGGACGUCCAAGUCCUCCCAUUUCUUUGCUUUUAAGAAACAAAAUUUCUCUCAACAUGCAUAUGGUCUUCUAAACCAAAGUCAAGGUGGCCAAAAAAGCAAUACCAAGUCAAUUAGUUUUAAAUAAAAGCACCGUGACUGGGUCAAAUAAUAGGAAAAUUUUACUUGCCCUGUCAUGGGAUCAAAAGUCAUGUUGUAAAAAUGCUGCAAACACAAAGCCUCCCAUUCAAAGGAGCCUCGUCACCACAGAGAUGAAUGUCCUUGAAAUUAUAAUAAAAAUAUAUGUUGGUAAUUUGGUUCCAACUUUAAAUUAUAAAAUAUAUGAUUCUAUUCACAUUGGUGAAGAUUUAGUUAGUAUUUUUGUGAUGGAGGUUGAUAAUUAAGUUGAUUUAAAACCUUGUAUGGUCAAGUUAAUAAUAUGGUCAAUAAAAAUUAUAUACGAAGAAAUAAGAGUCUAUCUAACUACUUUGGUUAAUUAUUGAGCUUACUCAUAAAAUUUUUAGACCAUAGUUUUACCGAUGUAAACCAUUUAUUGAGCUAAUCCCAAUUUUUCUCCCUCAAUUCAUCAGAAGGGAUUUCAUCCGAAAGGAUAUUAGGAAAUGCUUUGGGACUCGCAUGAUAAUCUGUAAUACCCACUACAAUCUUUUUUAACUAGUGAAGAUCCUCAUAUCUGAUUUCUCCCAGGCCAUACACCAUUUACUUGAUUGAAUGUUGCAGGCUUUCACCACAUUUGUUUCAGAUAUACGCUCUGCUGUUUAAUUCUUACUCGUCAAGGCUUGUGCGUAAUAAGACAACUUUGCACUCGAAGAUGGAUUCUGUUUCUUCUGGCCACUGUUAUCACCUCUUCUUCUGGGUAACCCUUCCCUGGUUGUUCAGCGCAUCGUUUCUUCCAAUAAGAAACUCUGCACCCAAAUCUGAUAAUGUUCACCUGAAGUCUUUGGUCAGAUGACCAAGCUCCAUUCAAUCUUGAAACUACUCUUUGAACAUCUGAUGGUACCUCAUAUCUAACAAAUUAAAAUUUACACCCAUACUUGAUUCUUUUCUUAACUAUAUAAAUAUAAACCACCUCACAAAAUUGUUGGAAAAUUCUUUUAUCACCUCCAAUGUACUCUUAGCGUGAUAUUGUUGACAAAGAAAGAAGUUAUUUCCUUUCAAAAAAAUGAAAGAAGGGAUUUUCGUGCUUUCCCCGAUCAAUGCUGUAAUUUUUUUUCAAUGAUUAAUGAUGUAGUUAAUUACACACAUGGACAGACCCACGUUGGAGGGAGUGGGUGUCACAUGACAUCUCUCACUUCUUAAAAAUGUUUUAGUUUUUAUACUAUAUAUCUAAGAUUUAGAGUAAUUAAUAUAUUAAUGAACUUAUUUUUUUUUUAUAAUUUUAUAGAAAUUGGGGUCAAAGACUUCAGGUAAAAGUGACUUAUCAAAAAAUAAUUUAUAUAUUAAUAUUUAAAUACUAUAAGAAAAGAUAAAAAACUUUCUUUUUAUAAUUUAAGAUUUUAUUUAAAAAGUCAAAACCUAAACUACUCUCUCUAUUUAAAAAUUCAAGUUCUUUCCCUUUUUGGUUUUUAGCUGUGAUUUUUACUUUUUCAAAGCAAUUCAUCUAGAGUUUAAUUUUAAGUAAUUUUCAACCCAAAUUAAGUUUCUAGAUAUUUUAUAUUUAAAUAUUUUUUGAUUAAUUUGAUAAUUUUGAUUCAUAAUUAUAAUCUAACUAAUAAAAAAUAAUAUUGCAUGUUAAACAAUAUUUUGAAAUUAUGAGUUUUUUAUUUAUUUUAUAGUUAUAUUAUUUGAUUAUUUGAUUUUUAUAUUUAACUUUAUCUAGUUUGUAAAUGUUUAUAUUUAGUUUUGAUCAAUAAAAAGAAAAUUGUUACAUUGUUAGUAACUGAACUUGAUAAUUUACAUGCUACAGAAGUUUUACUAUAUAUAUAUAUAUAUAUAUAUUAAAUUGAGGGUGAAAAAACUUACACGAAUAAAAAAAGUCACAAGAGAUUGAGAGCAAAGCUAACAAUCAAAGAAGAUUAAAUAAAAAAAGAAGUUGGAAAAGUAAUGAACCAUCCGAACAGUUGAUAUUAGAGAGUUCAAAAGUGAGAUAAUUUUGUCAACUCUUUAUUAUCAUAAGGAUAACACUUGUUUUAUCUAAAUAAACAACACUUCUUUUAUGACUUUAAAAAAAAAUAACAAUUCUUUUAUCUAAGUAAAUAACAUUAAAAAGUUAUAUAUAUUUGUACACUUGAGGCUCCAAUAUAAAAAAGAAUCAAAGGAGACACAAUGUGGGAGCAAGAGAUUUUUAAAGGGAGCGAGCAAGCUCUUCCAUGGCCACGUGGGAUUCGUUCUGCGGUACUGCUACAUUCCAAUCAUGCUUAUAGGUAAGAAAAAUGUAUUGAAACAAGGUAAAAAUAUUUAAAACGGCUAACAUUAGCAAGUACUUGUCAAUAUGACUUUCGUUUAUGGUGUCGCCGAUCCAGGGUCGAGCAAGCAAAAGUAGAAGCACACUGACGAAUCUUCCAAAACCCAGUACACCCUCGUUAAAUGGAUACUCAAGAACCCACAUCGAAACUGGUACUCUGUCAUAAAACAAAUACUUCAGUCCCUUUCCAAUAACUCCUUCCACAAUUCCUAAUAAGAAAAAUUGAGGAGCCAACCAUAAGAUUGUCAUGGGAAUAGUUUCAUUUUCUGAUAUUCUUUGGCCAACCUUAUUUUCAAAUUUGCUGAUUGAACUUAAUCUACGAACCUCCACUCUCCAAGCAGCUACGCAACACCCAAUAGCAAAGAACAUUCCAAUACCAAUUCUGACAAACCUGGCACGAUGUUGAAUGCUUUCUUCACUACUCCAGAAUUUUUUUAUCAGGAAAUUGCACAAUAAUGAUAUGAUGAAGGUUGUAAAGGUUUGAAGCACAUAGAAUGAAGUUAAGGGAAUCCUAUUGAAUGAAGAUGUAGGAAUCCUAAGAUCAAUCCGAGUAUCUAGAUUCUCACUUUGUACUAUAAACAGAGUGUAUCCCGUUGCCUCCACUAGACUAUAAACGAUGAAUGUUAUUCAAAGAGGUAUCAAUUUUACUAGGAGUUUUGCUUGAUUCAUUCGUUCAGCAACCGUCUUUCCUGCUGGAUCUUCAUGGUCGUAGCAGCACUUGCCAGAGCAGAAAACUAAAUAAGCUACCAAGACAAUUAUUAGUGAAACCUUGAAGCUAUCAUCCCAUUUAAGGCUUGAUGCAAAUGUUGAAGAUACGAAGGUUCCUAGAAACACUGCAAUAUAAUUCCAAAAAUUAGCACAAUUUAUAAGUGUAUCAUCGUAUUUCUCCAUAUGUUGUUUUCGGAAAAACUGAUCUUCCAUUAUCUCAGUCUCAUCAAUGUCCAUCGUCCCACGAAACUGGUCAUAGAGAAAUGGUUUCAACGAAGCAGCUUGUCCCGCUGUGCCUAGCAUAAAUAACGUUAAUGCUACGUAAAAUAUAAUAUUGCUGACAUGUGAAGCAAGAAGCCACCUAGAAAGCCAUAAUACCAGUAAUGCCUGCAAAAAGAAUAAUAUAAUUAUUGCGAGUGUUUUUUGCGAUAUUGAAAAUGUAACGGAGUUGAGUGCGACGGGUAUGGUGAUGCAGUAAUUUUUUGAAAAAACAUGACGGUGUAUUAACACAAUAACCUGGACACAGGAUAAGCACCCGAGCAUUUGGACACGUGAUAGGCAUCCGAGCAUUUAGCUCAUUAGUUAGUAUAUGAUCUCUCUAUUUUAAGAGUAAGAUUCGAAUUUUCCCUCUUCAAUUAUAUAAAAAGAAAAAAACCUAGACACAGGAUAACGCAUGGUGGAGAGUGUCUAAAAGGUGCAUGGGUUGCUCAAAAAAAUAGCAUUGUUCGCUUGCUAAUCAGAUUAAUCAGAUUUCUGAUUUUCUACCAUUAACUAAUCAGAUUAUUGUGAUAUCUCUGUGUUCAAGAUAUGCUUUAUCUCCCAACAAAUUUCUAUAUUAAUGACUUCUGUUUUUGUUUUCUUAACCGAAAUGAUGCUCCUUUUUUUACACACAAUUUUGGAAAGAAAGGAAAUUUACAACUGCCCUCUACCGUUGAAUUAUUAAAUGUUCUUGAUCACAAACUAUAAGAAAAUUUAAGGUAACUCACUGCAUAUUUAAAUAUUAAUUGUUUAGCCUAAUUUUCUGAAAUAAUUUUUCUACACUAGAAAACUUCUGAUAUUAUUAAAAUAAUUCUUUUUAGCUUUUCAUAAAAAGUUUAACACAUGAUUACAUGUGUUGCAUGUAAAUAAAUAAUUUCUUGUUUUUAAAUUCAUAGAGUAAGUGAUUUAGUAUUAAAAAAAUGCAGAUAAAAAAUUACUAUCUUUGUUUCAGAUUUAAUGUCUACAUUUUCUUUUUUAAUAUGUUCCAUAAUUAUAUCCGUUUUUAACAUUUACAACUUUUACUUUUUCUAUGUUAUAUAUUAAUUUUUAAUAUACCUUUUAUUUUUUAAUAUUGUAAAAACUAAAAUUUAUCAAUCAACGUUAUAAAAAAUAUAUUAAAGAAACUAAAGUUAAAAUGUUAUUCCUAAUCCUCUCUUAUGUUAAGUCCAAAGUGAAUAUUGAAUUUCGAAUGGAAAGAAUAAGAAUGAUAUAAAUUUAAUUUCAUAUCGUUCAUAUUUACCAUUGUAUUAUGUAACUUUUGAUAGAUACAUUUGAAAAUAUCAUAAGAGUAUCUAAAGUGCAAAGAAAAUAGGGUGUAGAAAAAAGAGGCAGAGGACAAGGCAAGAGGAGACUCGUUUGAGAUAUAACUAACUACAAUAGUGUAAGUCGGAGACAAGUGCUGACAGAAGAAGAAUGAACUUACGAUGAUCAAAGCUGGAACAGUGCAAACGAGGAGUUUGAACUGGCCUAUGCGAUCAAUUGCAAUGCGCUCGAGGACAAUAGACGUAAACAUUGUUACGCCUUCAAUGGCAUUUGCAAAGGCUGCAGCUUUUCGGAGAGAUGACUUCUUCCAAAUGAACUGGAUAUACGAUAUCAAGAAAGCUGUAAAUGCGUUGUCUAAAAAGGCGUGGCUCAUAAGCAAACCUGUCAUCGGAAAUGGUAGUCAUCCAUUAAAAUUAUGUUAGUGUAACAAUUAAUAACGAAAACUAGCUAGUACCAUUUUUCUUUUGGAAUUCUUUUAGCCCUUCCUAUUCAAGAAUAGCGUAGAUACCCGAGAUGAAUAGGGCACCCUUAGAGAAGCGAACGUAAUUGGACGCCCACGUCCACAUGCUAGAGAAGCAGUUGUUAAUAAGCAUCGACAUUUUUGGGGAGCAAGUGAAGCCAAAAUUAAAGCAGCUGAUGCAAUGUGCGUAUCACCUUAAUCGAUGGUUGAACACUUUUUCUUUAUGUUUGCUCGCUAUUUAUGCUAGUGGGGGAACUGAUUUUUAGAUUUUUUUCUUCCAAGGAUCAGGAUUCAGAAACCAUGCGGGGUAGACGCACGUGCUCGAGCAGAAGCAUUUGGCUGAAAUGGUAAACGGGUUGACAUGGGCUCUGGUGUGUGCUGUGCCAUUUGACUCUGUUCGAUGUUCAAGAAUCAAUACGCAAUUGAUACUGAAGAAAAAUACUAGGUAAAUAUCAAUAUGUUGCUGUUACUUCGGUGUAAGGGACUGGUUGAUUCCACAUGUUUUAGAAAUUGCAGUCGCAACCAUUCAUUUCUCAAGCUUAAUCCUCCCUCCUACUUGAUGUAUUACUUCCACGAAUUAAACCGGGCAUCCUAGUCCUCCCAUUUUAACCUUUUAAGAAACUAAAUUUCUCUCAACGUCAAGAAGCAUAUGGUCUUAUAACAAAAGCAAGUCAAGGUGGGCGCCGUCAAUCAGUUUUAAAUAAAAGCGCCGUGACUUGGUAAAAUAAUGGGUUAAAAGUCAUGUUCUGAAAAUUUUGCGAAGAAAAACCUCCCAUCCAAAGGAGACUGGUCGCAUCACCAUGGAGACGAAUCUGCUUGAAAUUAUAAUAACAAAAUAUGUUGGUAAUGUGUUUCCCAUUCUAAACUUUAAAAAUUAAAAUAUGUGAUUCUAUUCACGUAGAUUAUCGAUGGUGAAGAUUUAGUCAGCAUUUUUGUGAUGUAAAGACAAAGAUCGAGGUGGUAACUAAUUAAGUUGGUAGAAGUGUAUUUUGUAUGAAGACCUCGUAUGAUCAAGUUCAUGAUAUGGUCAAAAAAAUAUAUAUUUCUAUGAAGAAAUAAGAGUCUAUAUAGCUACUUUGGUUAUUGAGCUUACUCAUAAAAUUUUUAAACCAUAAUUCCAAUGAUAUAAACCAUUUAUUGAGCUAAUCUCAAUUUUUCUCCUUCAAUUCUUCAAAAGGGAUUUCAUCCGAAAAGGAUAUUAGGAAAUGCUUUGGGACUCACAUGAUAUUCUGUAAUAGCCACUAAAAUCUUUUUUAACUAGGGAAGAUUCUCACAUUUGAUUUCACCCAUACAUCUUUUACUUGAUUGAAUAUUGCAGGCUUUCACCGUAUUUGUUUCAGAUAUAUGCUCUGCUUUUUCAUUCUUACUCGUUAAGGCUUGUGCAUAAUAUUAGACAACUUUGCACUCGGAGAUGGAUUCUGUUUCUUCUGGCCACUUUAAUCACCUCUUUUUCCUUCUGGAUAACCCUUCCCUGGUUGUUCAGUGCUUCGUUUUUUCCAAUAAAAAAUUCUGCACCCAAAUCUGACAAUGUUCAAGUCUUUGGUCUAAUGACCAAGCUCCAGUCAAUCUUGAAACUGCUCUUUGAACAUCUGCUGGUACCUCAUAUCUACAAAUCAAAAUUUACUCCCCUACUUGAUUUUUUUUCUUAACUAUAUAAACAUAAACCACCUUACAAACUUGUUGGAAAAUUCUUUUGUCACCUCCAACGUACUCUUAGCGGGAUAUUGUUGGCAAAGAAGUUAUUUUCUUACUUUCCCUGAUCAAUGUUGUAAUUAAUUACACAACUUAAUGAAAAUGCUUGUACUAUAUAGAAGAAUAGAUGACAAUAAUAAGUUAACGAGAUGAGAAAUCCAUUUCCAUAUAUAUUUGUUAUUGAAUUAAUUGUUCGUUUAAGAUGUAUUGCAUAAGUUAACAAUGCAAAAAACCUUAAGAAUGCAAAAAACCUCUUUCAUAGACCUAGAUCAUCCUUGAACUAAGUCAAUGAAUUUAUUUUACGCAAAAGCACUAGAUAGGUGCUGAAAAAUUAUAAUUAAGAUUUAGCAAGUGUCUAGCCUGUUUCUCGAUCUAGUCAUGGAAUCAAAAUUAUAAAAAAUUGGUAUGUUUGAAUAACGCAGCAAUGACAAAUUCUGGUCCAAAGAGGUUUUGUCAUCUCCACCGUGAUGAAUGUGUUUAAGAUUAUAAAUAUAUGAUUCCAUAAUGUUUCAUUUUGGCACAUGGAAUUAAGGAUAAGACAUGAUUAUAAUAAAAUAACUGAAAAAAAAAACAAAUGAAAGUUUGGGGAGAAGACAGAAAUGGUAUUGAUAAUUAUAUAUAUGAAAGUACACAUCAUUACUUAAACCUUUGGGCACGUUCACGUUUGACAGAUUAUGAAAAAAAUCAUACUUUAAUAAGUCUUUUAGUUAUAAUUUUUGUGAUUUUGUCAAAUCAAAAGACACAUUACAAAAAAAAAAAACUCUUUAAUUAGACCUUUUUUUUGAACUAAUGAGUUUUAUUUUAUAUUUGUUGUUUUUUACUGUAUUUUAUUAUUAUGAAGGUUCAUAAUCAUUUUUGGGAUUGAUAAUUCAUUUGGUGUCCUCUUUUUACUAUCAAAAUCUUCCUCUUUGGUUUUUUUUUUUUUAAGUUGGGUCUUUAUUUUUUUAUUUGUUAUUUUUUUUAUUUUCAUGUUCAUUAGGAGUUUACAUAAUUAACUAAUUUAUUAUUUAGAACGAAUAAAGUUAUUAUAUACGUUCCAUAAUAAAAAAUAAAAAUGAAAAAAAACCUUCCAUAUCAGCCUACUCACAAUAAUUAUUUUCAAUAUCUAUUUUAAAAAAUGUUUCAAAUUAGUGACAUUUUGGAAAUUUGCGAGGGGUGGUAAUGCUUAAAGAAGUUACACUCGUUUGUUACCACGCCACCUGUUAUUUUAAUAGCAUAAUGCUAAUAUUUUAAACUCUUGUUUGAUUUUUAGGACAGGGAAGAAAAUAUUUUAGUUGAUUGCAAGAAACAUCUUGUUCAAAACUAUAGCUUCCGUUGUCAAAUUGACUUUGAUAAAAAAAAAAAAAGGGAAAAUGAAGACAUUAUCAUCUUUUAUACAUUAACGAAAAGGUUUUUAAAUUUUAUAAAUAAUUUAAAUAAUAAAUACAUGCUCAUUUAGCAAUAUAUAUAUAUAAAAGGUGCCUAGUUGUUUAUUCGAAUUCUCCCAGUUCAUGUUAAUCACCGUCGAGUCAAAUUCAAAAUCAUUGUCAUCAUCUUUGACUUCCCUGUUGAAAAACAAAAUGCAGAAUCAUUCAAACAAUCGUGUACUCUGGCUUUUCUUGUUGUUGGGUAUUUCUUUUAUCAAUCUAACAAAGCACUUUUGAAGCAAAUUUGCCUGAGUAAUGAGCAUCUUUUCCCAUUCUUAUGACAGAUUAUGAUAAACCCAUGACCCAAUUACAUAACCCGAACGUACUUACUGUCUGAGUGUGACCCGAGGGAAAAGAACAUACCUGCGAUCAAGAUACCGAGGUUGGAUCCCGCUACCUUGGCAAGUAGUGCACGAUAAAGAACCAACACCUUCACAGUUGAUGCAUUUCGAGACUUCUUUCUCAUCCCCACCAAGCUCUACACUUAUCGUCCCACUUCCCAUACAAAACCUGCACCUCUCUGGACCAUCACGAAACCUUGAAUUACUCCAACAUCACACUCCAUGAAGCAUGAACACCCCAAAAAUGAUAAAACAAGUAGACCUUGAAAUUUGUAACAUAUGCAUCUUUCUUCAUUUCUUUCUUUUUCUCUCUAUAGUUUUUCUUGAUUUUUGUUUAGUUCGAUUGUUAUACUUGAGAAUGAAUUGCUUGCGGGCACCGGUGCCAUUGCAAGGGAAUCACGGUUGGGCGUUUUCACGCUUUGCCUGCAAAAUUAAUUGUCCCCACUUUUGUUUUCAAAAUUUUAACCCAAAAGAAAACUACAUUACUAAAAUAAUUCAUUCAUGUUAAAGAUAAAAAGAAAUGAAAUUACUGCACUAUCGAUUUGAGACUUGCAGAAGAUUGGGAUGCUGAUCCCAACCGCAACGCUGAUAAGCCCAACCGACGCUGUUACUAUCUGAAAACAGAACUUUCUUUCAAUUACCCCUAUGAAUCGUUUCGAAAUUACAUGAUUAGAAACAGUUAAAGAUAGAGUAAGAACCGUGGUCUGAUCAAGGUCGACGGCUCUGAUGCAUGGAUAAGACGCCGGCGACCGCGGGCUCCUUCCACAUUUGAAGGACAAAGAUGGAGUUGAGGGCUUGAGUGGACUGCAAAGAUAUGGAGAGUGAAAAUGAGGAAGUAAAAGAGUUAUUGACAUUUUGCCUUUUUUUUUUUUGGGAAAACAAAGGGAAAUUCGAUUACGAAGAGCGAAACUGGAGCGCCAAGAAUGGAGACCUGGCAAUGGCCGAUUUUGGUUAUGUAAUUUGUGGGACUGGGAUCGAUGGUAGCCAACCAGACAGCCGGAGAUUUUUUGUAUUCCACGUGGCACCCUUUGAUUGGUUUGAGCUUUGACAACUCAAAAUAACUUAGAUUAAUUGAUUCCACAAAUUCAUUAUUUUUCUCUUUUAUUGAAUGAUUUUUGAAUUUAUGGAAUGAAUUUAUAAAAUUAUUUCUUAUAGAAAAGAUGGUAUUGAACUGAUAAUUAUAAAUAAUCAUAGGUUUGAUGAGUUUGUCGACGACACACAUCAAAUUGAUUUUUAAUAAAUUUAAUCAUAAAUAUUAAUUUUUAUUAUUUGUUGAUACAUUUUCAAUUGAAUCAGUAAAUGACUUCUCAUAUUCACUAGGAUUAAUGCUCUAAACCAAAGUACACGUACAGAGUUCGUAGUCCAUAACAUUAAGCAUUUGGGAUCUGGACACCUAUAUCAAAAGUACUAAACAUAGCCUCAGAUGCAAUCGUACCUAACCCACACCCUUUCGCAUUCCCUCUUGGCUUAACACGGGCUCAGUUAGGCUUUGGACUUGUACGGGGCUUAUGAUGUGCUUAGGGUAAUAAGGCCAAGCCAACCAUGUCGUUGUGCUACAGUAACGAACCCACAAAAUAUUGACCUUCGACGUUAAUUUUGUGUAAUGGCACUAAGCAGUGGUCACUAAAACAAAUGCAUGAGAUUUCUGAUGCAAAGGAUCCACUGAAGUGCAACUGUAGAGCAUAUGACUCAUGUCAUUGCUUACUAGGUGUAAGCAAUGGAUUCAUAUUCAGAAACUAACUGAAAGGAGAGAGUAGCCAAAGAGAGAAACUUUAGAAAAACAUACUUUAUAUUUUGUAGAUAAGUACUCAGCUAUGUGCAUUCUUGUGAAGUUCUUCUCUUACCACUUAAUAGGUAAUGGUAUCUCAUAGCAACUUUUUCUGUGUCACUCUGUUGCUAGAAGUUUUUGUGUUUAUGAUGUGUUUCAGAUAGUUAUGUCUAAUGAAAUUAAGAGGAAACGUAAUCUAAACACUAAGGUUAUAUUUUCAAAGUGAUGUGUGAACAAGGAUGUUUUUAAGUAUUUAUGUUUUAAAUUAGUGUGAUAAUUAGUUUGAACAUGGUUAUAAUUAAUUAAAUGUAUCCUAUGUUUAGAAAUAGAUACGGAUUGUGAAACAUGUUCAUUCAAGUAACGACGUUAAAAGUUUAAAUCCAACAAUUAGAUAUUUGGAAAUGGGUAAGAAAAGUUUAAAUUAAGGCUAACUUGGAACUUUGUGAGCUUGCUUACGAGACUCAAGAGCCGACAGCGAUCACAGGAAUUGGUUGUUACAAUUCUAGUGCUCCCCUUAGGGAGCUCGAUGCUCCCUUAAGAAGCCUCGAUAAGGCUCCCCAAGGGGAGCACCGAUUAGUGCUCUUUUUUUUUCUUUAAUUUUUAAACUUAUAAUAAUAAUUUUUUAAAUUAAUAAAAAAAGACAGUUUAGUCUUUUCUUAAUAUCUGUUGACAGUUUUUAUAUUUUUGGAGUAGAGUGUCCAUUUUAAAAGCUCAUGAACCCAUUUAGAAUUUUGACUAAAACUUAGGAGGGUUGGGGUAUUUUACCCUUUAAUGUAUCAUUCCCAUGUAUCACGCAUUACCCUAAAGAUCUUCAUGUUCUAGAGAUGGGCUAGUAAUUCCUCUACUCUUACCCAGACUUUAUACUUUCGGUCAUCCUUCUCCAAACUCUUAGGCUUAAUGCUUUCAAACCAUAACUCAAGGGUGUGCUUGUAUUGUCUCAACAUAACCUCCAUCUCCUAAGUAGCUUCGAAAGUGACAAAUACUUUAAGACCACCAGUUGGUCUCACUUUUAUUCUCACCCCCUUCGAGGAAAAAAAGUAAUAGAUAUCCUCACAAUAGCAAGGUUUCCUGAGUUGACCCAUUACGCUUCUCUAUAGCCAUUCCACUUCCUGCUUAUUAAUAAACACUCUUAUCCCAUCAAGUUUAAUCCCUUCUUGAUUACCAUGAUGACUAGUCCCUCCAUUUCUCUUCCUUUCUUUGGUCUUUGUUCGCCUCACCAGCAACCACAUCAUUGAAGGACCUCAUAGUUGCCUUUGUACCUUUUAGGCUCCAACAAUCGUUCCAAAUGUGACCUUCCUCUCUCACUUUGGAACCCAUUCUAUCCGCUUCCUUUACAUGUAGAUGCUAUCCAACUAAAAGAAUGUUAUGACCUAGCUCCAUUGCUUUGUAUAACUUAAAUUUGGAAAGGUACCUAACAAAAACAAACCUUAAAGCCUUACAUUUUGCCAACUUUGUAAGAUAGAGAUCCAUAACCACCCUAAACUUAUCAAAGAAUCAUUUUAGAUCUCUCCACCUUAUCUCCCACCCUAUGUUAUCCACAAACGCAAUGAACACACUCCUUCGUCACUAAUCAAAUUCUUUGAACCUUUUCCCCUUUGCCACUCCGUAGUCCUCCCUGAAGCUCCUCCCAUCCUCGUAGUUACCUGAUUCCCUACGAUCACCCCAAGAUUCAUCUGCCGUAACCUCAUUUUUUUUCUUUUUUUUCUCUUUCACUAGCGCUCUUUUUCUCUCUCAUGUUUUUUUUCUCAAGAGUGUGCUUAUGCCUAGCAUUAAUAAUGUUGAUGCUAUGUAAAAUAUAAUAUUACUAAUGUCUGAACGCCAACUAAAAAGCCACAAUAGUAGUACUGCAUACAAAAAGAGUGCCAUUAUUGCGAGAUUCUUUUAGGAUAUUUGAAAAUGCAACAAAGAUAAGUGUGAUGAGUAUGGUAAUGCAAUAUUUUGAAAAAAAAGUAAUUUACUAAAGUGUAAUUAGUUGAGGAAAAUGGAAUAGUCAUCAAAUGAACCAUUAACUCACCACUAGACAGAAAGCCAAACUGGUAACGAAAGGUAUUCACCCAUUAUCAAGUUUUUUGGUCCAUUUGCUUCGUAAUGAAUGCCCAUGUUUAGAAACUACUACUCUAACAUAUGGAGCUGGGCAUCCUAUUACGUUCGCUUCUCUAAGGGUGCCUUAUUCAUCUUAGGUAUAUGUAUACUUUAUAUUAGUUUUUAUCAUGACAGUAGAUCUCAUAUGUAAAUUUAGUUAUAACAUUUUUAUAUUUAAAUUCUCAAAAAGUCUUUAGAAAUGUAUUUGGGCACAUUAAUUAUGUUUGUUUACAUCUUCAUUUCUUGUUCUUAGUAUGCUUAUAUAUUCUAAUGAUCCUAGAUUUGGUAUGUGUGGCAUGUUGGUAUAUGCCCUUAAGCCAACUGGAUUGGUAAAUGAAUAUAUAUAGUUAUUUAAUGCAUACUUAAUUGCAUAAUUAUAUAUGAUAGAGGUUUUUUUCAUGUUAGUGCAAUAAUAAGGAGUUAUUAAGUACUAAUUGGAUGAAGUCAUGGAACAUAAAGGUCUUGUAAGAAAAUUGUAAAGUUGUUACAAUUAUGAAAUCACUACGCAUUAAAACCAUGUUCCUAAAAUUAUUCUUGGUCAUUGUAUUGUCAAGACAGGGCAUUGACAAUGCUCAAAGACUGGUACAUGUUAAGCCUCAUUACUAAGGAAGUAAGCAAUCGAUCUCAUAGAUUGAAGUAUAUAGGAUACUUGAGGAUAACAUGUAGGUGCUUAUUAAAGAACAAGUUCACUGAACAUGACCCGCUAUAAGAACUCCAUUUGAUAUUUCACUCAAGUGUCUAUGAAAUAUAUUGUCAUGUGAUAGUUGUGCAACUAGUCCUUAGACUUGAGACACUAGGUUAUCUUUUAUGGAGAAUGAUAUACUUUGAUUUCAUCUAUAUGGGUCUAGAGGCGAUCAGAUGCCUAAACAUGGUGUUUUUGAGUAUGCCAUGAAGCAUGCGAAGGUGAAUGAGUGGUCAAGAGAGGAUUCAUCACCCCAAGUGAUAUGAGGGGAUAUAUCUCACUUGUUUUCAAUUCUUGAUUAACUUAUAUAAAGUCUUUGGCUAAAGCAUGAUGAAUUUGAGAAAAGUUGGUUUCUUAAAUUCAUAAAGUUAGUCAUGAAUUAUAAGAACUAAUAUGGAAUGCUAUAAGUAGACGCUGAGCCAUGCUUUAUGACAUAUUCGGGAUAUUUGAUGAAAGGACCGUAUUACAUUAAGAGGCUUAUCACUGAAGGGUUUUGUCAAAUUCUUUAAUUGACUCUCUAACAUUUGGAUAGUCAUGACGUAUUGUUAUAUGUCACUCAUUAUCUGUAAAUAUAAAUCAAUUAUCAAAUUGAUAUUUGAUUAGGAUUUAUAUUUAUUGCCAACAUGUUAAAAGCCUAAUGGGUCACACACAUUAAGUGAUAUGAUUGGGAUUAAAUAAGGAUAAUUAAUUAAGUUGGACUUAAUUGAAAUAGACCAAAAUAAAGUGAAAAAUUAAUUAAGUUCACAGAGACUUAAUUAAAUUAAAAUACAACUGUUGUAUUUAGGGUUGCAACUUAAUUUGGCUAUAUAAAUAUGUUAUGUUAACAAACUAAAACUUUAAGCCUCCAACCACUUCUCAGCCAUUUCAUAAAAUAAGAAAAAAAAUAGUUUUCUUUGUCUGACAAAAAUAAGAUUCGGCAAGAAUUUUUAAUCCUUUUGUUUUAAAAACAAAACUUAGUAGCACCAGUAAAAAAUCUUACCUUUGAGAAGGUCUUAUUCGGUCAUUGUGUGGAUUAUUGUUAGAGGCCAAACACUUGGAUGGCUAAAGAUUUGACAAAUCCUAAAGGUGAAGAAGCAAACAUUUUGAUUUAAUUGGCUCUUAAUUACGAACUCUAGAGCAAGGUAUGUAACUCUUAAACUUAUAAAUGUUCAUAAUUAAUUAGAAAAGUACAUGAAAAAUACAAACAUUGAUCCUAUAAGAUUCGACUGUUUCUCUAAUUAAAUGUUAGUUUAUUAUUCCGUUGCAUUAUAUUUUUAAUUUUUUAAUUAUUUUCAUAUUUGAACAUGAUUUAAUUGGCUCGUGUUUCAUGUUUCGGGGAGCAUGGAAUAUAUAUAUAUAUAUAUAUAUAUAUAUAUAUAUAUAUAUAUAUAUAUAUNGGAGUAUAUAUAUAUAUAUAUAUAUAUUAUAUAUAUAUAUAUAUAUUAUAUAUUAUAUAUAUAGUUUGUUUUCUUUUGCACUGGCCAAUCAACACCUUUCAUAGCUUUAUUUUACAUUGAAUAUACACUUUCCCCUCCCUCCCCCGCAGCGUGUCAUUAUGAAUUAGCAUAAACUUUAAAACGUUCUUAUUUUAAGAUUUUUCAAUCAAAUAAAAAGAAUGAGUAUCAUUUCUAUCCAGUGACGAAAUCAAGGUUUCGUAUUUGAGGAUGAACACGAGAUAGGUUCGUCAUGAAGUCUUAAGACAAUAAGGCUUGGAGAAUAAUUGAUCUACUACAGUAAGUAUUACUUUAAUCUCUAAAUUUACUAAAAUUAAUUUUGAUUAAUUGUUGUGAAACAUCUCAUCAAAUAAAAAAUUAUUAUCAGGACAAAACUAUGAGAUUUAAAAAAACAAAUGUAUAUUAUGGAAAUAUAUAAAAGCAACAUUUAAAUUUAUUCGCAUAAACAACAAAGAAUAGAAGUUCUCUAUCAUAUAUUAUAACCAAAAUGUCCAAAAAGUCCUAACCAUAACAAACCAAGAAAAGCCCAAUCUUCUAAGCCAAGAGAGGCCCAACCCUCUAGAAGACCAUGAUCAAGAUUAAUCAUUAAUAUUAGGCUUAAUUAAAUAUGUUUUAAUAUGUUAAAGUGUGUUAGUGUGUUGUCAUGUCUCCCUCAACAAAAAAUCUUUAAUAGAUGAAAAAGCAUAAAUUUGUGUUAUUUAUUGAUUUGAUGAUUUGACAUGUUUAUUGAUUUAUUAUGUUAAAGAUUAUAAACUUGAUUAUAUUAGUAAUGAUUAUCGAUACAUGUAAACUUUCAUCAAAAAAAUAUAUCCGCCGCAUUACAUUUAAUGAAGUAAUUGCAUAUAUCUCUUCUCAUUUAAUCAUGUCGAGAUUUAUGAAAUAAAAAAUCUAUACCAAGAUUUUUGCUCCACAUUUUCUUCAUCACUAAGGUUCAAUUUAAUCAUGUUCACAUAUGUCUCUUCUCACCAAGGUUUAGUUUUAUUACCUAUUUGUUCUACAUCUUCUUCAUCACUAACGGCAUCAUCAUGUUCUUGCUCCUCUUCAUCCUCAUCCAAAUCUGUACCAAGAUUUAGUUCUUAAGAUGAAGAAUCGAAGCACCAACCUCAAAAGUCUCGCCACCAACCGAGAGUGGCCAUGCAACAACCGAGAGAUGGACCUAUGCUCGAAGAUCUAAAUGAUCUAUAGAUGGGUUGGGUUGGGUUGGGGUGAGGUGGGGUGGAAGUAGUGGCGGAGGAAGUGGGCCAUGAAGCAUGAAGGAAUCGCCGAUGUCGCUGUCGACAAUGUAGAUAGUGGGCCAAGGUGGAAGGCAGAAAAUGAGGAGUUGUAAAGAAAGAACGAGGAGGAUAAGGAAAACCUUGAUUUUUUUUAUCUAAUUAAAUAUUUAAUUGUAAAUUAUUGAUAUUUAUUUUUAAGGUUUUAAAGAAUUUAAAUUUUAUUCAUUAAUGAAGUAUAUAUUGUUAAUGCAUAAAGUAUAAACUCUUCCUAUAUAUGUAUUGCAAGUUGUUUAAUUAGUAAUUAUAAUUUUUAUUUAAACAUUAAAAAUUACAAGAAAAAUUAAAAAUAAUGUAACAAAUAACCUUUACUCCACAUCAAGAAAAAAAAAGCAUAUUGAGCAAAACAAGUACAUAUUAGCUUGUAAUAGAAAUAAGAGGAAAUUGUGAGAAAUGACCUUCAUAGAAAGGUAACUUUAAAAAUGACCGUCUUUAUAAUUUUAACUGUUUUUAGUCAGUUUUUGGUAUGACUUGACAAUAAUACCCUUUAAACAAUUUCAAACAAAUUAAAAUAGUUUCAGUUUUCUCUCUCCCGCCAUUCAGAUAAAAUUUCAAAAUUAAAUCUCAAUUUCUUUCUCUACUCAAAUAUGUCUAUUUCGCCAUCCAAUUCGUAAAUAUGACAUCAAGUUCUUUCUUAGUUUGUUUUAUUUUUUUAGAUGGUGGAUCUUGGGGUUUUUAAGGGAGAUGAACAACGAUUUUGCUCUUUGCAGGUAGUGAUUUUGCUCAGGGAGAAAGAACAACUAAAGCAUGUUUGAUGGGUUUUAUGGUGGUUCACAAUUUUAUUGUGUUUGGGAUUUGGAUGAUUAUUAAGCAUGUUUGUUAGGGAUUUUGAUUUUUUUUAUAAGAUUUUAAGUUGAAAUUGUUCAGAGAAUAUUUUGUAAAGAGGGUAUAUUUUGUUUUUGUAUAAGGGGAGUGAGCAAGACCUCUCGAUAGGGAUAUAUGUUCUCUUACUUUUGAGGGUUAUGGAGUUUUAUAACCUAUCUUUUAUGAAAUGCACAAUUUCAUGGCUUAGCAAAAAAAAAUAUGUAUUUUAGGUUCUUGAGUUUGUUGGUUUAUUCAUAGAACCCCAAAAUUGAUUUAUUGAUUUUUAGGUAUUGUGUGACUUAAUCACCGUGUGACUAGUUUUUAGUCAUUACGUGAUUGAUUUUAGCCAUUACGUGACUAGUUUUUAUACAUUGCAUGACUGAUUUUUAAGCAAUGCCUAAGUCACACGAUGCCUUACGAACUAGUCACGCAAUACCUUACUAACAAGUCACACGAUGCCUUACUAAUAAGUCACGCAAUGCCUUACUAACAAGUCACGCAAUGUCUAUCAACUAGUCAUGCAAUACCUUAUCAGAAACUAGUCACGCAAUGCCUUAUCAAAAACUAGUCACGCAAUGCCCAAAGUUAGUCAUGCAAUGCUUUAUUAGAAACUAGUCACGCAAUGCCUUAUAAAAACCUAGUCACGCAAUGCCCAAAGUCAGUCACGUAAUGCCUAUUAACUAGUCACACAAUGCCUUAUCAGAAACUAGUCACGCAAUGCCUCAUCAAAAAUCAAUCACGUAAUACCCAAGGUCAGUCACACAAUACCUAUUAACUAGUCAUGCAAUGCCUUAUCAAAAACUAGUCACAUAAUGCCUUAUCAAAAAUCAGUCACGUAAUGUUCAAAGUCAGUCAUGCAAUGCUUAAAAACUAAUCACAUAAUUCUCAAAAAUUACCAAAACUACUGAAUUCUAUUUAACAAGAUCAACAACUUCAAACGAUACACCAUAUUCCAUUUAACAACAUAAUUAACAAAUAUGAAUGCUUAAAAUGUUCGAAAGUUUUUCUUCAUUUAUCAAAAAUCACUCUAACAUGUUUAAAAAUGCUCAAAACACUCACAGGUUUUCUUCGUGUAUCAAAAACUACUCCAAAAUGCUCAAAAUGCUUAAACGUUUUUCUUUCUGAUAAGGAGUACUCCAAAGAUGAAUAGUCUGGUGAAGAAAGCUCCAAAAAUAUGAGUCAGUUUGAGACGCAAACCUAAACAUAUUUGACCCGUUAAUAAGUUUCGGGUUGAGGCGAGGAGCCUAGCGAAUGGGUCGAUUUCAUUAAGGAUAAUUUUGUCCAAUUUGUUUUCUCUUGGCUAAAAAUAGAUAAAGUUAUAGAAAAGACUAUUCUUAAAAACACCUUAUGUCUCAAGCCCAUUUAUGAAAAGCACUCUAGAAAUAAUGUUGAUGAUAUGUACGACAUAUACAGAUUAUGCAUAUCUAAUCUAGGGCCACGAAUGAAGGCGUUGAAUGACUACUUUUCCCACUGAACGAGACUCUAGAUUGCUCAUUGAUUUACUAGGAGACUUGGAAUUUGUCCCCAAGGCUAAGGGCGCUGAGGAAGAUGCAGUUAUUAAUUCCGUGGAGCCAGCAACCAUUACCAUGCUCAUGUGGGAUCCGCUUUGCGGUACUAUUACAUUCCAAUCAUACCUAUAGGUAAGAAAAAUGUCUACAAACAUGAUAAAAAUAUUUAAAACGGCUAACAUUAGCAAGUACUUGUCAGCUUGACUUUCGUUUAUGGUGUCGCCAAUCCAGGGUCGAGCAAACAAUAAUGAUAACACACUGAUGAAUCUUCCAAAACACAGCACACCUCCAUUAAAUGGAUACUCAAGAACCCACAUCGAAACGGGUACUCUGUCAUAAAACAAAUACUUCAGUCCCUUUCCAAUAACUCCUUCCACAAUUCCUAAUAACAAAAAUUGAGGAGCCAACCAUAAGAUUGUCAUGUGAAUAGUGUCAUCUUCUGAUAUUCUUCGGCCAACCUUACUUUCAAAUUUGCUGAUUGAACUUAAUCUACGAACCUCCACUCUCCAAGCAGCUAUGCAACACCCAAUAGCAAAGAACAUUCCAAUACCAAUUCUGGCAAACCUGGCACGAUGUUGAAUGCUUUCUUCACUACUCCAGAAUUUUUUUAUCAGAAAAUCACACAAUAAUGAUAUGAUGAAGGUUGUAAAGUUUUGAAGCACAUAGAAUGAAGUUAAAGGAAUCCUAUUGAAUGAAUAUAUAGGAAUCCUAAGAUCAAUCCGAUCAUCUAGAUUCUCACUUUGUUCUAUAAACAGAGUGUAUCCUGUUGCCUCCACUAGACUAUAAACGAUGAAUGUUAUCCAAAGAGGUAGCAAUUUUACUAGGGGCUUUGCUUGAUUCAUUCGUUCAGCAACCGUCUUUCCUGCUGGAUCUUCAUGGUCGUAGCAGCACUUGCCAAAGCAGAAAACUAAAUAAGCUACCACGACAACUAUUAGUGAAACCUUGAAGGUUUCAUCCCAUUCAAGGCUUG